AUUGAACGCUGGCGGCGUGCUUAACACAUGCAAGUCGAUCGGUAACGCGGGGGCAACCCUGGCGACGAGAGGCGGACGGGUGAGGAACGCUUGGGAAUCUGCCUAUCAGCGGGGGACAACCCGGGGAAACUCGGGCUAAUACCGCAUACGCUCUACGGAGGAAAGCCGGGGACCGCAAGGCCUGGCACUGAUAGAUGAGCCCAAGUCGGAUUAGCUAGUUGGCGGGGUAACGGCCCACCAAGGCGACGAUCCGUAGCUGGUCUGAGAGGACGAUCAGCCACACUGGGACUGAGACACGGCCCAGACUCCUACGGGAGGCAGCAGUGGGGAAUAUUGGACAAUGGGGGAAACCCUGAUCCAGCCAUGCCGCGUGUGUGAAGAAGGCCUUUUGGUUGUAAAGCACUUUAAGCGAGGAGGAGGCUACUUGGAUUAAUACUCUAGGAUAGUGGACGUUACUCGCAGAAUAAGCACCGGCUAACUCUGUGCCAGCAGCCGCAGUAAGAC
rnacentral:rRNA from 1 species